rnacentral:tRNA from 1 species
UGCUCUGUGGCUUAGUUAGUGAAAGCGCCGGACAACCGAUACGGAGUCGUGGUUUCGAAUCCUACCAAAACAA